rnacentral:rRNA from 1 species
AGAGUUUGAUCAUGGCUCAGAACGAACGCUGGCGGCGUGCUUAACACAUGCAAGUCGAACGAGAAAUCGGGCACUCAGGCAACUGAGUGCCGGAGAGUAAAGUGGCGCACGGGUGAGUAACACGUGGGUAACCUACCCCCGAAUCCGGGAUAACCUCGCGAAAGCGUUGCUAAUACCGGAUAUUGUCCUUUUGGUUGUGACCUUUGGGAUGAAAGGCAACCUCUUCAUGAAAGUUGUCGUUCAGGGAUGGGCCCGCGUACCAUUAGCUUGUUGGUGGGGUAACGGCUCACCAAGGCUACGAUGGUUAGCUGGUCUGAGAGGAUGAUCAGCCACACUGGAACUGAAACACGGUCCAGACUCCUACGGGAGGCAGCAGUGAGGAAUUUUGCGCAAUGGGGGAAACCCUGACGCAGCAACGCCGCGUGAGUGAAGAAGGCUUUCGGGUCGUAAAGCUCUGUCAAGUGGGAAAAAAGUCUGAUGAUUAAUAGUUGUCAGAUCUGAUGGUACCACUGGAGGAAGCACCGGCUAACUCCGUGCCAGCAGCCGCGGUAAUACGGAGGGUGCAAGCGUUGUUCGGAAUUACUGGGCGUAAAGGGCGUGCAGGCGGGUUGGUAAGUCAGAUGUGAAAGCCCUGGGCUUAACCCAGGAAGUGCAUUUGAAACUGCCAUCCUAGAGUAUGGGAGAGGAGAGUGGAAUUCCCAAUGUAGAGGUGAAAUUCGUAGAUAUUGGGAGGAACACCCGUGGCGAAGGCGACUCUCUGGACCAAUACUGACGCUGAGACGCGAAAGCGUGGGGAGCAAACAGGAUUAGAUACCCUGGUAGUCCACGCUGUAAACGAUGAGAACUAGGUGUAGCGGGUAUUGACCCCUGCUGUGCCGAAGUUAACGCAUUAAGUUCUCCGCCUGGGGAGUACGGCCGCAAGGCUAAAACUCAAAGGAAUUGACGG